rnacentral:rRNA from 1 species
CAUGCAGUCGAGCGGCAGCACAGAGAAACUUGUUUCUCGGGUGGCGAGCGGCGGACGGGUGAGUAAUGCCUGGGAAAUUGCCCUGAUGUGGGGGAUAACCAUUGGAAACGAUGGCUAAUACCGCAUGAUGCCUACGGGCCAAAGAGGGGGACCUUCGGGCCUCUCGCGUCAGGAUAUGCCCAGGUGGGAUUAGCUAGUUGGUGAGGUAAGGGCUCACCAAGGCGACGAUCCCUAGCUGGUCUGAGAGGAUGAUCAGCCACACUGGAACUGAGACACGGUCCAGACUCCUACGGGAGGCAGCAGUGGGGAAUAUUGCACAAUGGGGGAAACCCUGAUGCAGCCAUGCCGCGUGUGUGAAGAAGGCCUUCGGGUUGUAAAGCACUUUCAGCAGUGAGGAAGGCGGUAUCGUUAAUAGCGGUAUUGUUUGACGUUAGCUGCAGAAGAAGCACCGGCUAACUCCGUGCCAGCAGCCGCGGUAAUACGGAGGGUGCGAGCGUUAAUCGGAAUUACUGGGCGUAAAGCGCAUGCAGGCGGCUUGUUAAGCCAGAUGUGAAAGCCCGGGGCUCAACCUCGGAAUCGCAUUUGGAACUGGCAGCUAGAGUCUUGUAGAGGGGGGUAGAAUUUCAGUGUAGCGUGAAAUGCGUAGAGAUCUGAAGGAAUACCGGUGGCGAAGGCGGCCCCUGGACAAAGACUGACGCUCAGAUGCGAAAGCGUGGGGAGCAAACAGGAUUAGAAUACCCUGGUAGUCCCCGCCGUAAACGAUUGUCUACUUGGAGGUGGGGGUCUUGA